UUGGAGGGCAAGUCUGGUGCCAGCAGCCGCGGUAAUUCCAGCUCCAAUAGCGUAUAUUAAAGUUGUUGCAGUUAAAAAGCUCGUAGUUGAAUUUCGGGAUCAGAUUGUCGGUCGUGCCUGGUACGCACUGGCAUUAUUGGUUCCUACCUUCAGAAGAACCGCGAUGUCAUUAAUUUGGUGUCGUGGGGAAUCAGGACUGUUACUUUGAAAAAAUUAGAGUGUUUAAAGCAGGCUUACGCUUGAAUACAUUAGCAUGGAAUAAUGAAAUAGGACGUUUGAUUCUAUUUUGUUGGUUUCUAGGAUUGACGUAAUGAUUAAUAGGGAUAGUUGGGGGCAUUAGUAUUCAAUUGUCAGAGGUGAAAUUCUUGGAUUUAUUGAAGACUAACUACUGCGAAAGCAUUUGCCAAGGAUGUUUUCAUUAAUCAAGAACGAAAGUUAGGGGAUCGAAGACGAUCAGAUACCGUCGUAGUCUUAACCAUAAACUAUGCCGACUAGGGAUCGGAUGAUGUUAAUUUUUUAAUGACUCAUUCGGCGCCUUACGGGAAACCAAAGUGUUUGGGUUC
rnacentral:rRNA from 1 species